rnacentral:rRNA from 1 species
GACGAACGCUGGCGGCGUGCUUAACACAUGCAAGUCGAACGGUAAGGCUCCAGCUUGCUGGGGUACACGAGUGGCGAACGGGUGAGUAACACGUGGGUGACCUGCCCUGCACUUCGGGAUAAGCCUGGGAAACUGGGUCUAAUACCGGAUAGGACCAUGGUGUGGAUACUGUGGUGGAAAGUUUUUUCGGUGUGGGAUGGGCCCGCGGCCUAUCAGCUUGUUGGUGGGGUAAUGGCCUACCAAGGCGGCGACGGGUAGCCGGCCUGAGAGGGUGGACGGCCACAUUGGGACUGAGACACGGCCCAGACUCCUACGGGGGGCAGCAGUGGGGAAUAUUGCACAAUGGGCGGAAGCCUGAUGCAGCGACGCCGCGUGGGGGAUGACGGCCUUCGGGUUGUAAACUCCUUUCACCAUCGACGAAGGGUUUCUGACGGUAGAUGGAGAAGAAGCACCGGCUAACUACGUG